rnacentral:miRNA from 15 species
CAAGAACUCUCUCUGUGACUUGUG